rnacentral:rRNA from 1 species
GACGAACGCUGGCGGCGUGCUUAACACAUGCAAGUCGAACGGUAAGGCCCUUCGGGGUACACGAGUGGCGAACGGGUGAGUAACACGUGGGUGAUCUGCCCUGCACUUCGGGAUAAGCCUGGGAAACUGGGCCUAAUACCGGAUAGGACUCCGGACUGCAUGGUCUGGGGUGGAAAGCUUUUGCGGGGUGGGAUGGGCCCGCGGCCUAUCAGCUUGUUGGUGGGGUGAUGGCCUAGCAAGGCGACGACGGGUAGCCGGCCUGAGAGGGUGACCGGCCACACUGGGACUGAGAUCCGGCCCAGACUCCUACGGGAGGCAGCAGUGGGGAAUAUUGCACAAUGGGCGCAAGCCUGAUGCAGCGACGCCGCGUGAGGGAUGACGGCCUUCGGGUUGUAAACCUCUUUCAGCAUCGACGAAGCGAAAGUGACGGUAGGUGCAGAAGAAGGACCGGCCAACUACGUGCCAGCCGCCGCCGUAA